rnacentral:rRNA from 1 species
CGAUAAUCCACGUAUACUCAACCUUCUCUUGACAUUGCAGCAUGUGUACUGCCGUUGUAAGCACACCUUUAAAAGAAUAGUGUGCCACUAUGACUAACAAUUAACUCAUAUACAUCAGGUCAAAGUGCAGCCAAUAAGAAGGUGAUGAUGGGUUACAACCCUAAAACAGACUAUCAACUAAGAAAUAAAAAAUCUUACGAAAGUGGACUUGGCCGUAAUCAAUUUACAAGUUAAAAAAAUGAAUAAAAAUUUAAGACAUGCACACAUCGCCCGUCACUCUAUCCUAAAGGUUAGAUAAGUCGUAACAAAGUAGGUGUAAUGGAAAUUGCGCCUGUCGAAGUAUAGCAUAUGUAAUGCUUUUUACUUACACUAAAAACAAAGUUAAAUAACUUGCUUCGCCCACGCAAUAAAAUCUUCUAAAUCAUCACAUAAUAAAAACAAUUAUACAAUUAAAUCAACAGACAAGUACAGAAAUGGAAACAAUAAUAAAUAAAAGUAAAAAUUAAAAACUGUACCUUGUGCAUUAUGGUUUUACAAGAAUAUAGUUAAAAACACAAAUCCCGAAUUCUAAAUGAGAUGUUAAACUGCUGUUAUGAACCAAUUAAUAACUGUAGAAAAAGCUUUAAAAGACAGUUUAACAGAGGCUACAUACCAUUCGCAUAAGAAUAUAGCUGGUUUUCAACAAACAUUAUACAUUAAAACAUAUAAUUAAAUUAUAGUGUAAUAUUAUUGAGGAUAAGCCCAAUAAUUUAAGCAAUAACUACACAAAAUCUAUUUUAUUCUAUAGGCCUAAAAUCAGCCAACUAAAAUACUUUAUCGUAAUAAAUACAGAUAAAAUAUAUAAUAAGUUUAUGCUAAACAAAGUUGAAACCACGGAUAAACCAAAUACUCCAAUUUUACUAUGUAAAAAUAAGUAUUAAAGAAAUAUAGUAACUAUAACCAAGCUACUAACAACACAUAAAAACCAAUAAUUAAUUAAGGAACUCGGCAAAUCACUAUUUCGACUGUUUAACAAAAACAUUGUCUCAUGAAUAAAAUAUGAGAUAAUACCU